rnacentral:sRNA from 1 species
GUCAAUAACCCCCGUCUAAAGACGGAGGCUUGAAAGAGCCUUGAUUGACUAGCCUCAGUGAUCCUUCUUCGGAAGGUGAACUACGUUGGAUUGGAAUAUAUAGGCACCGUGGGAUGUUCAUCCUAGUCCCACGCUCUGC